CUUGGUCAUUUAGAGGAAGUAAAAGUCGUAACAAGGUCUCCGUUGGUGAACCAGCGGAGGGAUCAUUACAGAGUUGCAAAACUCCCAACCAUUGUGAAUCUACCACACCGUUGCUUCGGCGGGUGGCCUGGGUCUCCCCGGUGCCGCGCCGGCGCCCCUCUCGGGGCCCGGCAAACCCGUCAGAGGACCGAAACUCUUCGUCAUCAUUGGCCUCUCUGAGUAACUUAUACAAUAAGUCAAAACUUUCAACAACGGAUCUCUUGGUUCUGGCAUCGAUGAAGAACGCAGCGAAAUGCGAUACGUAAUGUGAAUUGCAGAUUUCAGUGAAUCAUCGAAUCUUUGAACGCACAUUGCGCCCGCUAGUAUUCUGGCGGGCAUGCCUGUCCGAGCGUCAUUUCAACCAUCAAGCGCCUGCGCUUGUGUUGGAGCCCUGCGGCUGCCGCAGGCUCCCAAACCCAGUGGCGGGCUCGUCGUCGUACCGAGUGCAGUAAACUUACCACGCUCAGGGCACGCGACGGGUGACCGGCCGUAAAACCCCUCCCUUCUCAAGGUUGACCUCGGAUCAGGUAGGAAUACCCGCUGAACUUAAGCAUAUCAAUAAGCGGAGGA
rnacentral:rRNA from 1 species